AUCAAAGGCACUGCUCCUGCCUUGCACCGAACCUCCAUUAGCUUUUCUCUCCUACCUUGGCUCAGGCUCUGAGGCGGCGGAGUGAAAAGGAAGCGUUGCAAAGCGAUGCUACAGGUGCUUAUCGUCAUCUGGGUUAUGAACAGCAGUGUUAGAGGAUAAACAAGAGUCGAGGUUCUGGUAACAACCACACCUGCAUAGAAUAGUGAAAGACCUUUGUAAUUAAUAUGCUUUUAGGGGAUGAAGAUGAGGCAAUUCGGGUUAGGCCGGUUGGCAGUUACAAAACCGACAUUUUUCUUGACCGGACAGAGUUCAACAACGACUAUCUUUCUGUUUGGUCGUAAAAUCUGUUACCAACCUCACUCGCUCUCCAUACGUUUUCACUCAUCCACUGCAUCGCCGAAUACCGAACAUCGGUUUAGAAAUUUGAAACCGGUUUAUGCCAUGUCUUCUAUUCGAUAUUUAACAUUUUCUGUAUUAAAUCAUCAACAUCUAAUUGAGUUCCAGAAUUAUUAAAAUCCAUGUGUUACUGUUUUUUCACAUAAAAAUCAUUACUUGGCUGGCUCUUGCAGGGUGUAACAAAAUAUUUUGGAAGAAAACAUGGGUUUGGUUCUUCAACAAAUAUCAUCCAUCAUCUUUGAGAAAAAAAAAACAAAGAGAGAGUUUAUCUAUGUACAAAUGCAAAGUUACUGAAAACAUGGAAAGG